rnacentral:rRNA from 1 species
AUUGAACGUUGGCGGCAGGCCUAACACAUGCAAGUCGAGCGGAUGAAGGGAGCUUGCUCCUGGAUUCAGCGGCGGACGGGUGAGUAAUGCCUAGGAAUCUGCCUGGUAGUGGGGGAUAACGUCCGGAAACGGGCGCUAAUACCGCAUACGUCCUGAGGGAGAAAGUGGGGGAUCUUCGGACCUCACGCUAUCAGAUGAGCCUAGGUCGGAUUAGCUAGUUGGUGGGGUAAAGGCCUACCAAGGCGACGAUCCGUAACUGGUCUGAGAGGAUGAUCAGUCACACUGGAACUGAGACACGGUCCAGACUCCUACGGGAGCCAGCAGUGGGGAAUAUUGGACAAUGGGCGAAAGCCUGAUCCAGCCAUGCCGCGUGUGUGAAGAAGGUCUUCGGAUUGUAAAGCACUUUAAGUUGGGAGGAAGGGCAGUAAGUUAAUACCUUGCUGUUUUGACGUUACCAACAGAAUAAGCACCGGCUAACUUCGUG